GGUGAAAAGCACCCCGGAAGGGGAGUGAAAUAGAACCUGAAACCGUGUGCUUACAAGUAGUCAGAGCCCGUUAAUGGGUGAUGGCGUGCCUUUUGUAGAAUGAACCGGCGAGUUACGAUUUGAUGCAAGGUUAAGCAGUAAAUGUGGAGCCGUAGCGAAAGCGAGUCUGAAUAGGGCGUUUAGUAUUUGGUCGUAGACCCGAAACCAGGUGAUCUACCCUUGGUCAGGUUGAAGUUCAGGUAACACUGAAUGGAGGACCGAACCGACUUACGUUGAAAAGUGAGCGGAUGAACUGAGGGUAGCGGAGAAAUUCCAAUCGAACCUGGAGAUAGCUGGUUCUCUCCGAAAUAGCUUUAGGGCUAGCCUCAAGUGAUGAUUAUUGGAGGUAGAGCACUGUUUGGACGAGGGGCCCCUCUCGGGUUACCGAAUUCAGACAAACUCCGAAUGCCAAUUAAUUUAACUUGGGAGUCAGAACAUGGGUGAUAAGGUCCGUGUUCGAAAGGGAAACAGCCCAGACCACCAGCUAAGGUCCCAAAAUAUAUGUUAAGUGGAAAAGGAUGUGGCGUUGCCCAGACAACUAGGAUGUUGGCUUAGAAGCAGCCAUCAUUUAAAGAGUGCGUAAUAGCUCACUAGUCGAGUGACACUGCGCCGAAAAUGUACCGGGGCUAAACAUAUUACCGAAGCUGUGGAUUGUCCUUUGGACAAUGGUAGGAGAGCGUUCUAAGGGCGUUGAAGCAUGAUCGUAAGGACAUGUGGAGCGCUUAGAAGUGAGAAUGCCGGUGUGAGUAGCGAAAGACGGGUGAGAAUCCCGUCCACCGAUUGACUAAGGUUUCCAGAGGAAGGCUCGUCCGCUCUGGGUUAGUCGGGUCCUAAGCUGAGGCCGACAGGCGUAGGCGAUGGAUAACAGGUUGAUAUUCCUGUACCACCUAUAAUCGUUUUAAUCGAUGGGGGGACGCAGUAGGAUAGGCGAAGCGUGCGAUUGGAUUGCACGUCUAAGCAGUAAGGCUGAGUAUUAGGCAAAUCCGGUACUCAUUAAGGCUGAGCUGUGAUGGGGAGAAGACAUUGUGUCUUCGAGUCGUUGAUUUCACACUGCCGAGAAAAGCCUCUAGAUAGAAAAUAGGUGCCCGUACCGCAAACCGACACAGGUAGUCAAGAUGAGAAUUCUAAGGUGAGCGAGCGAACUCUCGUUAAGGAACUCGGCAAAAUGACCCCGUAACUUCGGGAGAAGGGGUGCUCUUUAGGGUUAACGCCCAGAAGAGCCGCAGUGAAUAGGCCCAAGCGACUGUUUAUCAAAAACACAGGUCUCUGCUAAACCGUAAGGUGAUGUAUAGGGGCUGACGCCUGCCCGGUGCUGGAAGGUUAAGAGGAGUGGUUAGCUUCUGCGAAGCUACGAAUCGAAGCCCCAGUAAACGGCGGCCGUAACUAUAAC
rnacentral:rRNA from 1 species